rnacentral:misc_RNA from 1 species
UCCGAGUUGACCCCGGCAGUCUCCCAUGAGUCCCCGGCAUUACCCGCUGGCAACAUGGGACAAGGGUUGCGCUCGUUGCGGGACUUAACCCAACAUCUCACGACACGAGCUGACGACAACCAUGCACCACCUGUACGCCGCCCUUACGGACCCCACAUCUCUGCAGGUUUUCGGCGUAUGUCAAGCCUUGGUAAGGUUCUUCGCGUUGCGUCGAAUUAAGCCACAUGCUCCGCCGCUUGUGCGGGCCCCCGUCAAUUCCUUUGAGUUUUAGCCUUGCGACCGUACUCCCCAGGCGGAAUGCUUAAUGCGUUAGCGACGGCACCGGGAGGGUCGCUCCCCCCGACGCCUAGUGCCCAUCGUUUACGGCGUGGACUAC